AGAGUUUGAUCAUGGCUCAGAUUGAACGCUGGCGGCAGGCCUAACACAUGCAAGUCGAACGGUAACAGGAAACAGCUUGCUGUUUCGCUGACGAGUGGCGGACGGGUGAGUAAUGUCUGGGAAACUGCCUGAUGGAGGGGGAUAACUACUGGAAACGGUAGCUAAUACCGCAUAACGUCGCAAGACCAAAGAGGGGGACCUUCGGGCCUCUUGCCAUCAGAUGUGCCCAGAUGGGAUUAGCUAGUAGGUGGGGUAACGGCUCACCUAGGCGACGAUCCCUAGCUGGUCUGAGAGGAUGACCAGCCACACUGGAACUGAGACACGGUCCAGACUCCUACGGGAGGCAGCAGUGGGGAAUAUUGCACAAUGGGCGCAAGCCUGAUGCAGCCAUGCCGCGUGUAUGAAGAAGGCCUUCGGGUUGUAAAGUACUUUCAGCGGGGAGGAAGGGAGUAAAGUUAAUACCUUUGCUCAUUGACGUUACCCGCAGAAGAAGCACCGGCUAACUCCGUGCCAGCAGCCGCGGUAAUACGGAGGGUGCAAGCGUUAAUCGGAAUUACUGGGCGUAAAGCGCACGCAGGCGGUUUGUUAAGUCAGAUGUGAAAUCCCCGGGCUCAACCUGGGAACUGCAUCUGAUACUGGCAAGCUUGAGUCUCGUAGAGGGGGGUAGAAUUCCAGGUGUAGCGGUGAAAUGCGUAGAGAUCUGGAGGAAUACCGGUGGCGAAGGCGGCCCCCUGGACGAAGACUGACGCUCAGGUGCGAAAGCGUGGGGAGCAAACAGGAUUAGAUACCCUGGUAGUCCACGCCGUAAACGAUGUCGACUUGGAGGUUGUGCCCUUGAGGCGUGGCUUCCGGAGCUAACGCGUUAAGUCGACCGCCUGGGGAGUACGGCCGCAAGGUUAAAACUCAAAUGAAUUGACGGGGGCCCGCACAAGCGGUGGAGCAUGUGGUUUAAUUCGAUGCAACGCGAAGAACCUUACCUGGUCUUGACAUCCACGGAAGUUUUCAGAGAUGAGAAUGUGCCUUCGGGAACCGUGAGACAGGUGCUGCAUGGCUGUCGUCAGCUCGUGUUGUGAAAUGUUGGGUUAAGUCCCGCAACGAGCGCAACCCUUAUCCUUUGUUGCCAGCGGUCCGGCCGGGAACUCAAAGGAGACUGCCAGUGAUAAACUGGAGGAAGGUGGGGAUGACGUCAAGUCAUCAUGGCCCUUACGACCAGGGCUACACGCGUGCUACAAUGGCGCAUACAAAGAGAAGCGACCUCGCGAGAGCAAGCGGACCUCAUAAAGUGCGUCGUAGUCCGGAUUGGAGUCUGCAACUCGACUCCAUGAAGUCGGAAUCGCUAGUAAUCGUGGAUCAGAAUGCCACGGUGAAUACGUUCCCGGGCCUUGUACACACCGCCCGUCACACCAUGGGAGUGGGUUGCAAAAGAAGUAGGUAGCUUAACCUUCGGGAGGGCGCUUACCACUUUGUGAUUCAUGACUGGGGUGAAGUCGUAACAAGGUAACCGUAGGGGAACCUGCGGUUG
rnacentral:rRNA from 1 species